rnacentral:lncRNA from 1 species
GAUAAGGCAGCGGAGACGUCCCCUGAAAGAGCGGAGUCGACUCUCUCAGAGAAUUCCAGAAGACAUGUUUUUCGGAGUUAUAACAGCGGAGUCGUCCCCAAGGCAGCGGAGUCGUCCCCAAGGCAGCGGAGUCGUCCCCAUGCAAAAAGUGCAAACAAGCCGAGACGUCCCCGUAAAGUACAGAGACGACCCUCUCAGAAAAACAGAAAAACAAGGAUUCAAACGAUACAAUUCCAGAGU